rnacentral:rRNA from 1 species
UAUGUGAUCGUCUCUCGCAUAUCAAUAAGCGGAGGAAAAGAAACUAACAAGGAUUCCCCUAGUAACGGCGAGUGAAGCGGGAAGAGCUCAAAUUUGAAAUCUUAAAGGGUUUCCCUUUACGAAUUGUAGUUUAAAGAAGUGUUUUCUGUUGAGGUUUUGGUAAAGGUUCUUUGGAAUAGGACAUCAUAGAGGGUGAGAAUCCCGUAUUUGACCUUUACUUUCAACUUUGUGAUACACUUUCAAAGAGUCGGAUUGUUUGGGAAUGCAGUCCAAAAUGGGUGGUAAAUUUCAUCUAAAGCUAAAUAUUGGCGAGAGACCGAUAGCGAACAAGUACCGUGAGGGAAAGAUGAAAAGAACUUUGAAAAGAGAGUUAAACAGUACGUGAAAUUGUCAAAAGGGAAGCGUUUGACACCAGUGUUGUUUUUCUGAAAAUCAAUUAAAGAACUGUUUAUGCUAAGUUGUUUAGACUUUAUCAGCUAACUGUUUAGUUUUGAGCUUUUCUUUAAUGCACUUUUCAGUUAACAAGUCAACAUCAAUUUCUUUUGCUGUAAAAAAGCUUGAGGAAGGUGGCUUGAGAUUCGUCUUAAGUGUUUAUAGCCUCUUGGCCUAUGCAAUCGGAGAGAUUGAGGUCUGCAGCGUAGAUCCUUCGGGGCUAAAUGCAUUUGUGCUAAGUUAUAGCAUUUUAUAGACAACUUGUUGACUAUGAUUUGUCUUGUAGCUUACUCGCUUAUGUUAUUUUACCUACGCUUAGGAUGUUGACACACGCGCGUGCUCG